UUUGUUUUUGGAUUAGCAUAUUGUUAACUGAUUUGUUUUCUUUUUAAUUUUCUAUCUAGAAUAGUUAUGGCUACAAAAGGAAGGAAGUUUGUUGACAAAAAGCCAGCAAAGCAAAAGAAAGGCUGAUGUUGAGAAGAAGAAGAAGAGAAGCUCUGGCAAUCGAAGAGUCAAUAAGCAGCAUCCAAAACAAAGCAAUCCAUUUAUACUUUUUUAUUCUGCUUCACUUAUUUCUCUUGUUUAUUAGAAGUCAAACAAAUGCAUAUUCCUUGAGAAAAGUUUGUUGAAUAUACUAAUCAUGCUGAUUCAUCUUUUUCAUUUUUAGUUCGAUGUAAGGUUCCUCAAGUUAGCUAUAAAUUCAUAUUAUUAACUAAUUAUUGAAUCAUUUUGCGCAGUUAACG
rnacentral:lncRNA from 1 species